rnacentral:misc_RNA from 1 species
UUUCAUGCACUCAACUGCAGC